AGUGAACGCUGGCGGUAGGCCUAACACAUGCAAGUCGAACGGCAGCACAGUAAGAGCUUGCUCUUACGGGUGGCGAGUGGCGGGCGGGUGAGGAAUACAUCGGAAUCUACUUUUUCGUGGGGGAUAACGUAGGGAAACUUACGCUAAUACCGCAUACGACCUACGGGUGAAAGCAGGGGAUCUUCGGACCUUGCGCGAUUGAAUGAGCCGAUGUCGGAUUAGCUAGUUGGCGGGGUAAAGGCCCACCAAGGCGACGAUCCGUAGCUGGUCUGAGAGGAUGAUCAGCCACACUGGAACUGAGACACGGUCCAGACUCCUACGGGAGGCAGCAGUGGGGAAUAUUGGACAAAGGGCGCAAGCCUGAUCCAGCCAUACCGCGUGGGUGAAGAAGGCCUUCGGGUUGUAAAGCCCUUUUGUUGGGAAAGAAAAGCAGCAGGUUAAUACCCCGCUGUUCUGACAGUACCCAAAGAAUAAGCACCGGCUAACUUCGUG
rnacentral:rRNA from 1 species